rnacentral:misc_RNA from 1 species
GAGCUCUUCUCUUUCAUUUCUUGAUUCCAGUUUCAAAAAUUUUUGAAAGAAAGGUAGAUUUUUAUCCUAAUCUUAAAUGAGAAUCAUUAAAUAGAUAACAAGUAAAAGAAGUCGUUCAAGAUCUUAGGGGAAAUAAAGGAGUUCGCUUUUUCUUUCUUAAUGGCUGAGAUAUGCUGUGGCGUAGUAAGUGACAGUGAAGCGUCGAUGCCUUGUGAAGGGAGUCCGAGAGCAGCUAGGCGGAGGAGAAUGGAGAUCAGACGGUUCAAAUUCGUCACAGGUGUUGUCCCAUCCUCGCCGGAGACGGCAGAAAGUAAUAAACGGCGUAAAAUUGAAGUUCACACGGCCUUAUUGCCAGCUUCUCGCCACGAGGACUCAGUAGUGAAGAAUCAAGACAAAAGAAUCGUACUAAAGGUUGAAAAUGGAAAAUUGGAAACUACAGAUAUUAUAUUUUCAAGCAAGUCUCUGAAUCUGGUUCUAAGUCCGACCUUUUCAUCACCUCCCAUUGAUCCAGACUUGUAUCCGAAAUACGGCGUCGCUUCAGUCUGCGGAAGGAGAAGAGACAUGGAAGAUGCUGUGGCAAUUUACCCUUUUUUCUGUUGCAAGGACCAAGAUUCCACUACUGAAUUACACUAUUUUGGCGUCUACGACGGCCAUGGUUGCUCUCACGUGGCAGUCAGGUGCAGAGAGAGACUGCAUGAGCUGGUGAAGGAAGAAUUGCUAGAGAGCAAGGAAGCAACAGUAGUAGAGGCGGCGACGGCGAAAUGGAAAAGCGCGAUGGAGAGGAGCUUCUCGCGGAUGGACAAAGAGGUGAUCGCGUGGAAUGAAGGUGUCGUUGGCGCUAGUUGCAGGUGUGAGAUGCAAACCCC